GGAGGUGACUCAGUGGUAGCGCACUUGCCUGGCAUGUGUGAGGCACUGAGUUCGAUUCUCAGCACCA
rnacentral:tRNA from 1 species